rnacentral:rRNA from 1 species
UACGAAGGGGGCUAGCGUUGCUCGGAAUCACUGGGCGUAAAGCGCACGUAGGCGGCUUGUUAAGUCAGGGGUGAAAUCCUGGAGCUCAACUCCAGAACUGCCUUUGAUACUGGCAAGCUUCGAGUUCGGGAGAGGUGAGUGGAACUGCGAGUGUAGAGGUGAAAUUCGUAGAUAUUCGCAAGAACACCAGUGGCGAAGGCGGCUCACUGGCCCGAUACUGACGCUGAGGUGCGAAAGCGUGGGGAGCAAACAGG